GCCCGCAUAGCUCAGUAGGUAGAGCGCAGUCUUGGUAAGACUGAGGUUUCAUCGGUUCGAUUCCGAUUGUGGGCUC
rnacentral:tRNA from 1 species